CUCCCCCACUCAACACACACACCUAGGUCCUCAGCCCCUCUAACCCAAGUCCUGCCAUUACACAAGAACAGGGUUCUGAGCGAUGUAGGAUCUGUUUUGAAAUCUCCAAUGUGAGGGUUUCCCCCCCCCCCUCUUUUUUUUCACUCCAAAGCACUAUCUGUGGCGAUCAGACUAGAGCAGGGUUGCCAGCAAAUGCUGGAGGCCCCUUCUAGGGUACAGGCUUUCAAACCAGCAAAGCUGGAGGGAAUGGAUUUAAGGACACACAGCAGGAGCUGACUGAAUUUAUUUUAUUUUGACGGGGGUAGCCGGGGAAGAAUAUCACUGCUGAACUAUCCAAGGAUUUCUUAAACAGUUCUUUCAGGAUGAGUGAUGUCUUGUUUUGCAGAGGUGGAGAGAGAUACACAGAUGAUGGGUUCAAAGUCAUCCCUUUCAGAAGACCGUUUUUUAUGUUUCACCAUGAAAAAUUUCGAAGAGUCAGAAGUUUUGGAAGUCAAUGAAAUUGCCAUAGUCACCCCAGUCUUCAACAACUACCACCCUGAGCAGUCAGCAGCCGCCAACAUGGAGACAAGACUCUGCCAGCAAAAAGACUAGGAC
rnacentral:lncRNA from 1 species